rnacentral:rRNA from 1 species
UACGUAGGUGGCAAGCGUUGUCCGGAAUUACUGGGUGUAAAGCGCGUGUAGGCGGCAGGCCAAGUCUGCGGUGAAAGCGCCCGGCUCAACUGGGCGAGGUCCGUGGAAACUGGUCAGCUGGAGGACGGUAGAGGCGAGUGGAAUUUCCGGUGUAGCGGUGAAAUGCGUAGAUAUCGGAAGGAACACCAGUGGCGAAAGCGGCUUCCUGGUCCAGCACCGACGUUCAGGCACGAAAGCGUGGGGAGCAAACAGGG